AUGAACGCUAGCGACAGGCCUAACACAUGCAAGUCAGGGGCAGCACAAGGAGCAAUCUGAGGUGGCGACCGGCGCACGGGUGAGUAACACGUAUGCAACCUGCCUGUAAGCGGGGAAUAACCCGUUGAAAGACGGACUAAUACCGCAUAAUACUAAAUUACUGCAUGGUAAUUUAUUUAAACAUUUAUGGCUUACAGAUGGGCAUGCGCAUGAUUAGCUAGUUGGAGAGGUAACGGCUCCCCAAGGCAACGAUCAUUAGGGGUUCUGAGAGGAAGGUCCCCCCACACUGGUACUGAGACACGGACCAGACUCCUACGGGAGGCAGCAGUGAGGAAUAUUGGUCAAUGGACGAGAGUCUGAACCAGCCAAGUCGCGUGCAGGAAGAAUGUCCCUAUGGAUUGUAAACUGCUUUUGCAGGGGAAUAAAGUGCAUCACGUGUGAUGUUUUGUAUGUACUCUGCGAAUAAGGAUCGGCUAACUCCGUGCCAGCCGCGGC
rnacentral:rRNA from 1 species